rnacentral:rRNA from 1 species
CCUACGGGAGGCAGCAGUGGGGAAUCUUGCGCAAUGGGCGAAAGCCUGACGCAGCCAUGUCGCGUGAAUGAUGAAGGUCUUAGGAUUGUAAAAUUCUUUCACCGGGGACGAUAAUGACGGUACCCGGAGAAGAAGCCCCGGCUAACUUCGUGCCAGCAGCCGCGGUAAUACGAAGGGGGCUAGCGUUGCUCGGAAUUACUGGGCGUAAAGGGAGCGUAGGCGGAUAGUUUAGUCAGAGGUGAAAGCCCAGGGCUCAACCUUGGAAUUGCCUUUGAUACUGGCUAUCUUGAGUACGGAAGAGGUAUGUGGAACUCCGAGUGUAGAGGUGAAAUUCGUAGAUAUUCGGAAGAACACCAGUGGCGAAGGCGACAUACUGGUCCGUUACUGACGCUGAGGCUCGAAAGCGUGGGGAGCAAACAGGAUUAGAUACCCUGGUAGUCCACGCUGUAAACGAUGAGUGCUAGUUGUCGGCAUGCAUGCAUGUCGGUGACGCAGCUAACGCAUUAAGCACUCCGCCUGGGGAGUACGGUCGCAAGAUUAAAACUCAAAAUGAAAUUGAACGGCGUGAGACGUCGCCGACGGACGACGACGAGGGAGGAGG